GUAGGAUAGAGGCCUACCAUGGUGGUAACGGGUAACAGGGUGUUAGGGCACGACACCGGAGAGGGAGCCUGAGAAACGGCUACCACAUCCAAGGAUGGCAGCGGGCGCGCAAAUUACCCAAUCCCGACACGGGGAGGUAGUGACAAUAAAUAACAAUACGGGGUUCUUUCGGAUUUCGUAAUUGGAAUGAGUACAGUUUAAAUCUCUUAACGAGGAACAAUUGGAGGGCAAGUCUGGUGCCAGCAGCCGCGGUAAUUCCAGCUCCGAUAGCGUAUAUUAAAGUUGCUGCGGUUAAAAAGCUCGUAGUUGAAUUUCGGGACCAAUAUGUCGGUCGUGCCUCGGUACGUACUGGCAUCGUUGGUUUCUCCCUUCUGACGAACCAUGAUGUCAUUUAUUUGGUGUCGUGGGGAAUCAGGACUGUUACUUUGAAAAAAUUAGAGUGUUUAAAGCAGGCUCACGCUUGAAUACAUUAGCAUGGAAUAAUGAAAUAGGACGUUUGAUUCUAUUUUGUUGGUUUCUAGGAUCGACGUAAUGAUUAAUAGGGAUAGUUGGGGGCAUUAGUAUUCAAUUGUCAGAGGUGAAAUUCUUGGAUUUAUUGAAGACUAACUACUGCGAAAGCAUUUGCCAAGGAUGUUUUCAUUAAUCAAGAACGAAAGUUAGGGGAUCGAAGACGAUCAGAUACCGUCGUAGUCUUAACCAUAAACUAUGCCGACUAGGGAUCGGAUGAUGUUGAUUUUAUAAUGACUCAUUCGGCGCCUUACGGAAACCAAUGUGUUUGGGUUC
rnacentral:rRNA from 1 species